AUCUCUGUAAAUUUUUCCUUUAGCUUUUGUAUUUCUUCAGUCGGAAGAUUUUCCACAAUGACCUAAAGAAUGCUUGGGUUAUCAUUCGGGGGAGCGCAAUGGAAUACAUAAAUUUUUAUUGGCUCGCACAAGUUUUCAAAAUACAAUAAUACAAUAAAGCAUUGUUGAUGAGGAAGUGUAGAUGCAAAAUUUCAAUCAAACAGGUAACCCAUAAUUCACACAGUCAUAUAAAUUUCUGUUAUAAUGUUCAGAAUACAAUGUCAUCAUGAACAUCUAUACAAUGACAUCAUGUAUAGAUUCUUGUACAUGUUAUUUGGAGAAUCUUUUGACAUGUGGAUAUUAUUUAUCAUGUGUGCUUGAGAUAUAAGCUUUGUCACUUUCCUUUAUAUCUAUGAAUCCUAUUCAUGUAUUUCUCAAGUUUAAGCUCAAAUAGGGGGGAUUAAUGGGCCUUAGACUUGCCUUUAGUGCAAGUUUCUUUAGUUUAUUCAUUGCCGUAAAUUGCUUCAUCCUGAAAAUAACAGCAGUGUCGAUUGGCUUAUCUGAUGCUUCUCCACUUUCUUUAAGCCAAGGGUGCUCUGCAUUAUAUACAUUUUUCAAUGGUAGCUAUACUAUUCGUAUUAUUAAAUCGAAUAAUAAAUUUUAACUUACAGUAAUCAAAGCAGCAUAGAUAGAAUGAAUGAGAAAAAUUAAUAACAUGAGGAUCCAAUGCUUUAUACCUAGAACUUGAGCAGCAGUAAUCCGCCUUUUUGGAUCCAGUGUUAGCAUCCUGCGAACCAACUCUAUGGCACUGCUUGAUAUACUUGGAAAAGGAUCACGUUGGAAGUUAAUUUCUCCUUUUAAUAUAGCCCAUUAAGCAGGGGAAACUAGAACCUAGAGCCUUGAAUGGUGUAUUUUUAGGCUAUCCAGAUGAGGUGAAGGGAUUUGAACUCUGGUGUACUGAUUUGAAACCACCAAGAGCUAUUAUCAGUAGGGAUGUUGUAUUUAAUGAAGCUGAAAUGCUUCAAAAUACAACACAGCCAAAAACUAUGAUCAUUAAGCUUGGAGACAGAAACCAGAAGUUUCACUUUGAGGUGGAGCUCUCAACUUCUAAUGCAAGACAUGAACCAAGAGUUGAACCUGAGUCAGAAUCGGAUAUGCAGAUUCCUGAGUCUAUACCUAACUUAGUAGGUGAUAAGGAAGUAAGGGAUUAUCAGUUCGUGAGAGACAGAGAAAAAAGGGUUAUAAAGCCACCAAAGAGAUAUGCUUAUGCAGACCCUAUUGCAUUUGCAUUGACAGUAGCACAUGAAGUUGAACCUGAUGAACCAAGAACUUAUUCAGAAGCUGUUAAGAGUAAUAAGUCAAAAGGAGUGGAAACAAGCUAUGGAUAAGGAAAUGCAAUCAUUGAUAAAAAACCAGACAUGGGAGCUGAUUGAAAAACCAGCAAAUAAGAGGGUAGUGGGCUGUAAAUGGGUUUAUAAGAUUAAAGAAUGGAUACUAGGUGUUGAAUCUCAAAGGUAUAAAGUUAGGCUUGUUGCCAAAGGCUUUACACAGAAAGAGGGUAUUGACUUCACAGAGGUGUUUUCUCUAAUAGUCAGACACUUAUCCUUAAGAAUCUUAUUAGCACUUGUAGUUGUCAAAGACAUGCACCUUGAGCAGAUGGAUGUCAAGACUGCCUUCCUUCAUGGUGAAUUUGAUGAAAUGAUUGUAAUGGCUCAACCAGAAGGCUAUGUGAAUCCAGAAAAGGCUGAUUAUGCUUGUCAUCUAAAAAAGCCACUAUAUGGGCUUAAACAAUCUCCAAGGCUGUGGUAUUUGAGAUUUGACAAGUUUAUGUCAGAACAUGGUUUCCAAAGAAGUAGUUUUGACUGCUGUGUAUAUUUCAAAUAGGUGGAGGAUGACACCAAGAUUUAUCUGCUGUUAUACGUUGAUGAUAUGUUGAUUGCAUGUUAAAACAUGGAGCAAAUAAAUGUCCUUGAACAACAACUGAGAGAAGUCUUUGAAAUGAAGGAUUUAAGAGCAGCAAAGAAAAUACUUGGGGUAGAAAUAAUCAGAGAUAAAAAGCAGGGUAUCCUAUACUUAACUCAACAGAAAUGCAUCAGGAAAGUACUCGAGAAGUUUGGGAUGGGGAGCUCAAAGCCUGUCCAAACACCACUACCAGCUCAUUUUAGACUCUCAAGUCAGCAGUGCCCAAAAACUGAAGAAGAGAUGACUGAAAUAAACAUGGUUCCUUACUCAAGUGUUGUUGGGUGCCUAAUGUAUGCAAUGGUUCUAACCAGGCCAGAUAUAUCUUAUGCAGUAAGUGUGGUAAGCAAAUAUAUGGCAAACCCUGGACAAGAACAUUGGAAAGUUGUGAUAUGGGUGCUGAGAUACCUAAAGGGCACAUCUGAUUAUGGUCUGGUCUAUGGAAUCAGAAAAUAAGAGGAAGUCAUAGUUGAAGGCUUUGUAGAUGCUGAUUUUGCUGGGGAUCUGGAUAAGAAAAGGUCCUCGACAGGUUACAUAUUUACUCUAAAUGGCUGUACUGUCAAUUGGAAAGCCACAUUGAAGAAUGUUGUAGCAUUAUCAAUAAUUGAAGCAGAGUACACUGCAGCAGCAGAAGCUGUUAAAGAAUCAAUAUGGCUUAGAGGAAUGGUAACUGAACUGGGAUUCAAACAAGAGCAGGUGUUGGUUCAUUGUGACAAUCACAGUGCUAUUUGUUUGAGUAAAAAUCAAGUCCAUCACGAAAGAACUAAACACAUAGAUAUCAAGCUUCAUUUUCUGAGACUAGAGGUAUCAAAAGGAGUGGUGAAGUUAGAGAAAAUUCACACUGAUGAUAACCUUGUAGACUUCCUAACCAAGGCUGUUCCAGGUGCCAAGUUUGAGUUAUGUUUGAACUCAGCUGGGAUCUGCAAGAUAUAGAUUGCAGAUGUAAAGUGAUGGUGAGGAAGGGGAGCAGCAGAUUUGAGUUUAAGGUGGAGAAUGUUAGAUAUGAAGCUCAAAAUCUGAACUUGAGACUGUAUACGACAAGUCAACUUAAACCUUGCAUUGGGUAUGACAUGUCAGCUGCAGGAGUUCAGGGAGCUGUAUGACAUUCUUACUUUGUCGGUAAAAUAAGUAAGUGACUCACGUGAUGAAACACGUGCAUCACUUACUCAAAACGACAGAGGUGAAUACCGCUUUGUACUCAGGAGCUUAAGAAGAUGAAACACGUGGCUACCAGAGAUGCAAAAAGUCGUUAAAGCUUGUUAUCACACGGGCAAAAGACUGGGUUUGUUAUGAACAAACCCAAGUGGCGUUAGCAGUUGACUGAUGAAGGGUCCUUCUAGAUCAUUUCCUUACUAUAUAUAUAGCCCUAUGAUGAGAUCUUGUGUAGCGUGAUUUUGUACUAUCUUCUCAAGAACUUUGUAUCUUUAAUAAGCUCUGAUAGUGAAACUCUUCUUCUCCUUCACAGUGGAUGUAGGCUCACCUUGUGGCCGAACCACUAUAAAUCACUGGUGUCAAGUGUGUGUACUUUCUUUUCUGUUUUCUUUGAGUUGCUUGAGUGAAUUACCACUUAUUCAUUAGCCAAUAAAACUAAGUAAAUUCUGAAAUCUUGAGCAAAUAAAGGUGGAUCUUGGGAGAAUUAAAUCGGUGACAAAUUGGUUAAGUUCUAACAGAUUGUUUUCUUAAGGUUUAAAAAUAAUGUUAUUUAAAAUUAAUUAUUACAAAUAUUCAUCGACUCCAUACCUAUUAAAAUUUAACAAACACUAAUAACAACUGCAAUUUAAAAGUUACAACACCUUUAUAAAAAACCAUCAGCUUCUACUCCAUAGUUAUAACUUUUACUCUAUAACAAUUGCAACUUAAAAGAUACAAUACUGCACUUCCAAACGCACCCUAAGUGGUGGCUGCUGUCGCGCUGCUGCAGGGUUUGAGGAGGCUGGGCUUUUGCUUAAACAGCAACCCAUUUCUGCAUAAGAGGCUCAGCUCAAGCUCAACUCUGGAUGCUGGAUCUUUACAAAAGUAAACUGGAACAGAUCCAGUUGAGAUCAAACAUAAAUUAUAGGGAAUCAAAUGAGAUUUUGAGGAAAAGCAAAAUAAAAUAUAAAGAAUGAUUCCAGCUUGCCCACUUGGGAGGCACCAACUGUAUAUUUGUAUGCGCAUAUAUAUUUAACUAUCAAACUAUACGUCAAUAUAGUUAAAAUUUAUGGGCCUUUUUUUUUUUUUUUGGUAAGAAAUUUAUUGGCUUUUGUUGGAAAUGGUCAGCGAAAAAGAAACGCGUGGGAUAGGAUAGAAGUUUGAAUAAAUGAUGAGGUUGUAAAUAAUGUCUUUAGGACAGAAAUUUGAUAUUAAAAUUGGAAUUAUGGAACCUUCCCCAUGACACGAACAAUGAAUAACAAAGAUUCCGUUCAUAUUUUUAUUCUCUCCAUAAAUUAAAAAAAAAUUAAUAAGUUAAAUAAUAUCUUUCAAGUUCCAACUUUCAGAAGUUGCGUUACACUUUAAAAGUUCAAAUAUACACGCAGCCCACAUAAUUCAUUAUUUUUAUUAAAUUUUUUUUAUAAAUAGUACUAAAAUUAAUAUUAUCAAUGAAAAAUUUCUAACAGAUUAAUAAUAUGAAGAUAAUUGUAUUUAAUAUUUAAAAUAAUUCGUAAAAAUGCAUAUUUUUUUCGUUUAUCAUGGCCCAAUUAUUGGAAAAGUCAUCACUCCACCCCCACGUCAUUAGCUUUUUGUUUUUUUUCCUUUAAGGUCAAACCAUAGUUGACCGAUGAAUGUACUCCUAAUAUUAUCAACUAUUUGUAAAAAGACAAAAAUAACCUUAGAUUUGCAAAUAAUUUAAUGCAAACAAUUUUGUAUUUUUUUUUAAAGGCCUUUUCUCUCUUUGCUGUUCCCCUCUCCAUCUCUGAACAAGGUCGAAGCUUGAAGAAAUUGAUUGAUAAAAAGAGCGAGUUUUCAAAGCUGUUGAAGGAUCACUGCCGUUUACAAUUUUGGUUAUGUUAACACACUGACCCACAGGCAUUGUCCUCUAAUUCGUCUUCCUCAGAGGCUGAAAUGGCGAUUCGAGUGCAAUGAAAACCCCCAAGUUGCAAUGGCGAAGUGACGAAGCUCUCUCUAGGCAUAACAUUUUAACAAAACUGGGCAAAUCAAGAAAGGUUAAUUAUUGUGACGAGAAGAAAGACUUUCUAAUUUAUUAAGUGCCCGUUUGCUGCUGUGAUGGUGGUGAUUUGCCAAUGUCUUCCCUCUCGCCUCUCUGCAUUUUCCUUUUUUCAUCAAAGGAAAUUCAUGGAAUAAAGCGUAUAGUUUGUUUCAACUGUAUUUUUUCAUAGAAACAAAUCUUAAUAGAAAUAAUGUAUAAAUCUUUUGAUCCUACAAAAUUCAGAGCCUACGUGUGCAUCACAAAUUUGUUCACUUCCGUAUAUUUAUCUAUUUGACUGUAAGAAGAAAAAGGGAAGAAGGUAGUUUCGUAAAAUUCCGUAUAUGACUAUUAUUGUUCUUAUACACUCCCACAAAACUGCAAUAACAAAAUUUACAAAGAUAUACAGAAAACGAUGAAUAACAACACAGUUUACGUACCAGAAUACCUUGCGUCUUACGGUUACAACAUGAGCCAGAGAUCUAGAAGACAAUGCUCGCAGUUGGGUUCCGCAUUUCAUCAUUGAACGAAAUUCAUCAUAGCUGAUUCUACCAUCCUGUAUACACAAAUUAAAGUCAUGGGAAUUGGCUUACAACAAUGCAGACAAAUUACUAAUGCCCUUGCGAACUGAAAAUCAACUUACUUUGUCUCUGUCAACUUCAGACAUUAUUUCUUUAAUUGUGGCAAUUGUGGCAUCAUCACCCAUGCCAUAAUCUUUGAAAGCUUUUCCAAGUUCAUCUACCGUGAUAUAUCUACACAGCCAUUUAGAAUAAGAACUUCAUUAAUUAGUUGAUUGACGCCAGAUAUAACUCAUUAAAUUGAAGCAAGUUAAUGGAGGGAGUAUGUUUUCAAUAUUCCCCCUUCAGAUCAUGAUAAAACUGAGGAUGCAAAUAAUGCUCAACAUGCUUCCAUAAUAAUAAAAAUAAAAUGAGAAGCCUACCCAUUAUUAUCCUUGUCAAAGUACUGAAAGGCUUUGUAAAGAUUUUCAAAUCUUUGUAGCUUGUGCCUUUGCAUUGUAGCUGUUAUAAACUCAAUGUAGUCAAUGGUCCCAUUUCCAUCUAUAUCAGCCUGCAGAAAUGCCGAGCCAACAAUAUCAGCUGGGUAUCAAGCAACUAGACAGACAGUGGGCUAAACCCAGAGUUCAUGAAUUACUUACAGCUUGCAUGUACUGCUUGACAUCAAAUUCUGUAAGCAUCGAUCCAAGUUUAGCUAAUCCUGCCUUCAAUUCAUCGUAAGUAAGAGUGCCACUGUUGUCAGUGUCCAUCUCUGUAAAUUUUUCCUUUAGCUUUUGUAUUUCUUCAGUCGGAAGAUUUUCCACAAUGACCUAAAGAAUGCUUGGGUUAUCAUUCGGGGGAGCGCAAUGGAAUACAUAAAUUUUUAUUGGCUCGCACAAGUUUUCAAAAUACAAUAAUACAAUAAAGCAUUGUUGAUGAGGAAGUGUAGAUGCAAAAUUUCAAUCAAACAGGUAACCCAUAAUUCACACAGUCAUAUAAAUUUCUGUUAUAAUGUUCAGAAUACAAUGUCAUCAUGAACAUCUAUACAAUGACAUCAUGUAUAGAUUCUUGUACAUGUUAUUUGGAGAAUCUUUUGACAUGUGGAUAUUAUUUAUCAUGUGUGCUUGAGAUAUAAGCUUUGUCACUUUCCUUUAUAUCUAUGAAUCCUAUUCAUGUAUUUCUCAAGUUUAAGCUCAAAUAGGGGGGAUUAAUGGGCCUUAGACUUGCC
rnacentral:lncRNA from 1 species